CCUACGGGUGUCAGCAGUGAGGAAUAUUGGUCAAUGGCCGGAACGCUGAACCAGCCAAGUCGCGUGAGGGACGACUGCCCUCUGUGUUGUAAACCUCUUUUAUAAGGGAAUAAUAAACUCUACGUGUAGCAUGAUGCCUGUACCAUAUGAAUAAGCAUCGGCUAACUCCGUGCCAGCGGCCGCGGUCAUACGGAGGAUGCGAGGGUUAUCCGGAUUUAUUGGGUUUAACGGGUGCGUAGGCGGUUGUUUAAGUUGAUGGUAAAACGUCGGGGCUUCACCCUGAAUUGCAAUUGAGACUGGAAGACUCGAGUUCAGACGAGGUAGGCGGAAUACGUAGUGUAGCGGUGAAAUGCUUAGAUAUAACUAAGAACUCCGAUAGCGAAGGCAGCUUACCAGACUGCGACUGACGCUGAAGCACGAGAGCGUGGGUAGCGAACAGGAUUAGAUACCCGUGUAGUC
rnacentral:rRNA from 1 species